AACGCUAGCGGCAGGCUUAACACAUGCAAGGUCGAGGGGCAGCAUGACACGGAGAUUCGUCGAAGUGUUGAUGGCGACCGGCGCAAGGGUGCGUAACGCGUGAGCAACUUGCCCGUUUCUGGGGAAUAACCGGUGGAAACGCCGACUAAUACCCCAUGGCAUCAGAAUGAGGCAUCUCAAUCUGAUUAAAGAAUUUCGGAAACGGAUAGGCUCGCGUGACAUUAGCUAGAUGGCGGGUAACGGCCCACCAUGGCAACGAUGUCUAGGGGUUCUGAGAGGAAGGUCCCCCACACUGGUACUGAGACACGGACCAGACUCCUACGGGAGGCAGCAGUGAGGAAUAUUGGUCAAUGGGCGGAAGCCUGAACCAGCCAAGUAGCGUGAAGGAUUACUGCCCUACGGGUUUUAAACUUCUUUUAUGCGAGAGUAAUGUGCGCUACGUGUAGCGUAUUGCAAGUAUCGCAUGAAUAAGCAUCGGCUAACUCCGUG
rnacentral:rRNA from 1 species